rnacentral:rRNA from 1 species
AAGACCCCAUGGAGCUUUAAACCCGACAGCACCCACUUAUUUAACACCUUCUUAUCCGCCUGGCCCCUGUCUGCUCGGUUUUGGGUUGGGGUGACCGCGGAGCAUAAAAUAGCCUCCACGAAAGAAGGGAUGAUUCCCUCAUUUUAGAACUACACUUCCAAAGACUAACAAAUUAAUUUUAAGUGAUCCGAUACCCGUAUUCGAUCAACGAACCAAGUUACCCUGGGGAUAACAGCGCAAUCUACCUCAAGAGCCCCUAUCGACAGGUGGGUUUACGACCUCGAUGUUGGAUCAGGGUAUCCCAGUGGUGCAGCAGCUACCAAAGGUUCGUUUGUUCAACGAUUAAAACCCU